ensembl:lncRNA
GAUACGGAAGUGGCUGGUGUGGUGUGGAUGUUGUGAUUUACGGGCUGCAACGGAGAAUCCAAGGAAAGGGGAGAUUGGAAGUGCGGAGGAAGUUAAGUGAUCAACCUUUUGUAUGUUGUGUUUACACCUUAUUGUGGAUUGAGUUGAAGGAGCGAUCCUAUGUUUGGAAGGCCCCUGAGUGAAGGAGAUCAUUGAAUUCGUAUUGGGAGAGGACAACACUGUGUACUGGUGGGUGAAGACUUUAUGAACAUUCCUUGUAUAUUGUGGAGAGUGGAUGACGGAUGUGGAGGGAGACUAACUGCCUUUAAGAAAGGGUUCCGACUGCAUAUUUCUCCGUAGCAGUGGGUAAUUCCCCCCCCCUCUCUUGUGUUGAUCUAAUAAUCCUCAGUGCUUGUGUGUUUACUCAGUGUUGAUAGUAGUGCCUUGCGUUGGAGAUCGCUGGGAAAGACGGAGAGACUCCGGUGUACGAUAUAUACGCCUGCUGUGGUCUGCCCCCUGCCUUCGUCCAUCUGACACGCCCCGCCAGGACUCUGAGCCCGAAACGGGAAUACACCACGGAUCUUCUUUCACUGAGUGUGUGGAGUGCGGUGAGUGCUGCUAUAUUGAAGUGUACACACGAGAAGAAUUGUAGUGCCUUUGUGGUGUGUGGUGUUUGUCCGUGGCUGUGUCCCCGGUCGUAGGAAGAGGCCUGACAGAGAGGAGCAGUGUAUUGGUGGCAACCACAGUCUUUACCUUAAGUAAGCUGGAGCUUGGACGUGUUGGAGGCGCCUCUGGAGGAGGUUGGAUGACGUCGCCCACACAGCGAUCUCUGUAAGCUUUUAAAUCAAAGCCUUACCCUUUCAUCCACGUGACGUUGUGUCAUUGGCCUUGUCAGCAACCACCGGCCUUGUGCAUGUCGUCUGUGCUGUCUCUUCGACGAGGGAAGCGAAGGACAACAGCCGAUCCUCCCCCGUGUGCCCCCUUGCCAAGCUGGGCGGGAAGCCCAGUAUUGUUUGCAGUCUCACCUGUAAGGCCCACCAGCCGUCAGUCAUCGACCAAACCCGUAUCUGCUUGGAAUACCGACCUCUGAAUAUCUUCAGUGAACCCCUGCACGCUAACAGCCCAGCCCUGUGAAUACCCACCUGUAAAAGUUCAGCUGGAAAUUAAGGGCUGAAGUGGAGUGUGUCGAGGAAGGGCUGAAGAGGAGUGUUAUCGAGGACUGGAAUCCGUAUCUGUGGACAAAAAUAGUUCGAG